rnacentral:rRNA from 1 species
AGCAGCCGCGGUAAUUCCAGCUCCAAUAGCGUAUAUUAAAGUUGUUGCAGUUAAAAAGCUCGUAGUUGAAUUUCGGGGUUAGUAGGCUGGUCGUGCCACUGGUACGUACUGGUCUCACUGAUUCCUCCCUCCUGAUGAACCGUAAUGCCAUUAAUUUGGUGUUGCGGGGAAACUGGACUGUUACUUUGAAAAAAUUAGAGUGUUUAAAGCAGGCUAACGCUUGAAUACAUUAGCAUGGAAUAAUGAAAUAGGACGUUCGAUCCUAUUUUGUUGGUUUCUAGGAUUGACGUAAUGAUUAAUAGGGAUAGUUGGGGGCAUUAGUAUUCAAUUGUCAGAGGUGAAAUUCUUGGAUUUAUUGAAGACUAACUACUGCGAAAGCAUUUGCCAAGGAUGUUUUCAUUAACCAAGAACGAAAGUUAGGGGAUCGAAGACGAUCAGAUACCGUCGUAGUCUUAACCAUAAACUAUGCCGACUAGGGAUCGGAUGAUGUUAUUUUUAAUGACUCAUUCGGCGCCUUACG